UCAUAAAGGAAAUUGGUCUGAAACUUUCU
rnacentral:piRNA from 1 species